rnacentral:rRNA from 1 species
AAUAGAUACCCGGGUAGUCCACGCCGUAAACUAUGGAUGCUAGCUGUGACACAUAUCGACCUGUGCCGUAGCGAAGUUAACGCGUUAAGCAUCCCGCCUGGGGAGUACGGUCGCAAGAUUAAAACUCAAAGGAAUUGACGGGGACCCGCACAAGCGGUGGAGCGUGUUGUUUAAUUCGAUGGUAAGCGAAGAACCUUACCCAGGUUUGACAUCCCGAGAAGGCUUCCGAAAGGAAACUGUGCUUUAUUGAACUCGGUGACAGGUGCUGCAUGGCCGUCGUCAGCUCGUGUCGUGAGAUGUAUGGUUAAGUCCAUUAACGAGCGCAACCCUUAUGUUUAGUUGGAUUUUUCUAAACUAGACUGCCCUGGUAACAGGGAGGAAGGAGGGGAUGAUGUCAGGUCAGUAUUGCCCUUACACCUGGGGCUACAAACACGCUACAAUGGCCGGUACAAAGGGCUGCUAAGUCGCGAGACGGAGCUAAUCCCAUCAAAGCCGGUCUCAGUUCGGAUAGCAGGCUGAAACUCGCCUGCUUGAAGCCGGAAUCGC